GGUCCGGUAGUAAAGCGGUUAAUACGCCCGCCUGUCACGCGGGAGAUCAUGGGUUCGAUUCCCAUCCGGACCGCCA
rnacentral:tRNA from 1 species